UCCCCACUAAAGAGUCUCCUCUUCUUAAAACAGAGAGCCAAUGAAGCAUACCUAACCCCUUUUUAAAAAAAAAAGAUAUGGUGGUGAUCCGGAGCAGUUGGUCUUGGGUUUCUGGUUUUAUUACCAUCUUUUUCUCCCUCCUUUUCCACAGUCUUGCUUCUCCUACGCUUCACUUUUGCCGCCAAGAUCAGAAGGAUGCUCUUUUGGAGUUCAGAGACGAGUUUCCUAUUGAUGAGUCUAAAACAAGUCCGUGGAAUAAGAGCAGUGAUUGCUGUUCUUGGAAGGGUGUCACGUGCAGCGUUAAAUCUGGCCAGAUUAGAUGGCCCAAUCCCGAGAUCCUUGUCAAAAUUUCCCAACCUUAGACGGUUAUAUCUGAACCACAACAGUUUCAGUGGGUCAUUACCUAGAUCUCUAUCAAAGUUAGUCAACCUCCAUGAGAUUGAUGUAUCCAACAACAAGUUGGCAGAAAUGUUCUUCAUUCUUGCACAACCCAAGACUCUACGGUCUCGAAGAAAUUUGUAGAGAAACUCAUGCCUUGAAUCCUACGUCGCAGCUCCCCGAGGAAUUGGCAGAGGCUGAGGAACAAAUGUUCAACUGGGUAGCAGCUGCAAUAGCAUACGGACCUGGUUUGUACUGUGGAUUGGUGUUUGGAUAUAUCUACACUUCACAUAAUCCUUACAAGUGUCCGUUAAACCCAUCUCUUUAAGCAUUUGUGAAGCAAAUGUUGUGUAACGUCUUGUUCAUGUUUGUACUGAAAUUUUCAUGUGUAUGUUCUCCAUAAGACUUGUUUGUGUUUGUUUGUAUGUAAAUCCUAUGUAUGUAAUAAAACGUCUGGUGGUAGUCGAUAUAUCUUGGCUUGAAAAUGUAUACGUUUUGUUCUGCAAUUCUUACAAAAUAUAAAUUUAGUGGAC